rnacentral:rRNA from 1 species
GACGAACGCUGGCGGCGUGCUUAACACAUGCAAGUCGAACGGAAAGGCCCUGCUUUUGUGGGGUGCUCGAGUGGCGAACGGGUGAGUAACACGUGAGUAACCUGCCCUUGACUUUGGGAUAACUUCAGGAAACUGGGGCUAAUACCGGAUAGGAGCUCCUGCUGCAUGGUGGGGGUUGGAAAGUUUCGGCGGUUGGGGAUGGACUCGCGGCUUAUCAGCUUGUUGGUGGGGUAGUGGCUUACCAAGGCUUUGGCGGGUAGCCGGCCUGAGAGGGUGACCGGCCACAUUGGGACUGAGAUACGGCCCAGACUCCUACGGGAGGCAGCAGUGGGGAAUAUUGCACAAUGGGCGGUAGCCUGAUGCAGCAACGCCGCGUGCGGGAUGACGGCCUUCGGGUUGUAAACCGCUUUCGCCUGUGACGAAGCGUGAGUGACGGUAAUGGGUAAAGAAGCACCGGCUAACUACGUGCCAGCAGCCGCGGUGAUACGUAGGGUGCGAGCGUUGUCCGGAUUUAUUGGGCGUAAAGGGCUCGUAGGUGGUUGAUCGCGUCGGAAGUGUAAUCUUGGGGCUUAACCCUGAGCGUGCUUUCGAUACGGGUUGACUUGAGGAAGGUAGGGGAGAAUGGAAUUCCUGGUGGAGCGGUGGAAUGCGCAGAUAUCAGGAGGAACACCAGUGGCGAAGGCGGUUCUCUGGGCCUUUCCUGACGCUGAGGAGCGAAAGCGUGGGGAGCGAACAGGCUUAGAUACCCUGGUAGUCCACGCUGUAAACGGUGGGUACUAGGUGUGGGGUCCAUUCCACGGGUUCCGUGCCGUAGCUAACGCUUUAAGUACCCCGCCUGGGGAGUACGGCCGCAAGGCUAAAACUCAAAGGAAUUGACGGGGCCCCGCACAAGCGGCGGAGCAUGCGGAUUAAUUCGAUGCAACGCGUAGAACCUUACCUGGGUUUGACAUGGAUCGGGAGCGCUCAGAGAUGGGUGUGCCUCUUUUGGGGUCGGUUCACAGGUGGUGCAUGGCUGUCGUCAGCUCGUGUCGUGAGAUGUUGGGUUAAGUCCCGCAACGAGCGCAACCCUUGUUCACUGUUGCCAGCACGUUAUGGUGGGGACUCAGUGGAGACCGCCGGGGUCAACUCGGAGGAAGGUGGGGAUGACGUCAAGUCAUCAUGCCCCUUAUGUCCAGGGCUUCACGCAUGCUACAAUGGCUGGUACAGAGAGUGGCGAGCCUGUGAGGGUGAGCGAAUCUCGGAAAGCCGGUCUCAGUUCGGAUUGGGGUCUGCAACUCGACCUCAUGAAGUCGGAGUCGCUAGUAAUCGCAGAUCAGCAACGCUGCGGUGAAUACGUUCCCGGG